rnacentral:rRNA from 1 species
CACGUAGGGUGCUAGCGUUGUUCGGAAUUACUGGGCGUAAAGCGCACGUAGGCGGCUUUCUAAGUCGGGGGUGAAAUCCUGGAGCUCAACUCCAGAACUGCCUUCGAUACUGGAGAGCUCGAGUCCGGGAGAGGUGAGUGGAACUGCGAGUGUAGAGGUGAAAUUCGUAGAUAUUCGCAAGAACACCAGUGGCGAAGGCGGCUCACUGGCCCGGUACUGACGCUGAGGUGCGAAAGCGUGGGGAGCAAACAGG